rnacentral:lncRNA from 10 species
UGCAGUGAGCCGAGAUCACACCACUGCAUUCCAGCCUGGUGACAGAGCAAGACUCCAUCUCAAAAAAAAAAAACACAAAACAAAACAAAACAAAACAAAAAAUUUCGGUUUAGCCAAGCUGAUACAAUACAACCCCACACUCCUUCAACUAACUCCAACAUGGCAGCAGUAGGGUUCAUUUAAAAAUACGAAUCAGGCUGGGCACGAUGACUCAAGCCUGUAAUCCCACAGCUCUGGGAGGCCAAGGAGGCAGGAUCACUUGAGGCCAGGAGUUCAAGACCAGCCUGUGCCACAUAGCGAAACCCCAUCUCUACAAAAAAAUUUAAAAACUGGCCAUGUGUGGUGGGUGACAUGUGCCUAUAGUCUUAG